GAAUCUUGCGCAAUGGGCGAAAGCCUGACGCAGCCAUGCCGCGCGAAUGAUGAAGGUCUUAGGAUUGUAAAAUUCUUUCACCGGGGACGAUAAUGACGGUACCCGGAGCAGAAGCCCCGGCUAACUUCGUGCCAGCAGCCGCGGUAAUACGAAGGGGGCUAGCGUUGCUUGGAAUUACUGGGCGUAAAGGGAGCGUAGGCGGAUCGUUAAGUCAGAGGUAAAAUCCCAGGGCGCAACCUUGGAACUGCCUUGAAUACUGACGAUCUUGAGUAUGAGAGAGGUAUGUGGAACUCCGAGUGUAGAGGUGAAAUUCGUAGAUAUGCGGAAGAACACCAGUGGCGAAGGCGACAUACGGGCUCAUUACUGACGCUGAGGCGCGAAAGCGUGGGGAGCAAACA
rnacentral:rRNA from 1 species